UAAAAACCCCGCUAUUCACUGGAAGCGGAGGUGUCAGGAAACAUUCAUUCUUGGACUCCAGCCUCAGUGCUUUAGGUCUAAUUUCAAUCAUUAUUUCAACUUGUUGGAAGCUCAGUGGGCUAUUGUAGAUUUGUGUCGGUACAAACUUUGAAGCAGUUAACUUUGCUGCCCAGCUCAGUUUUAAAUCCUAUUUAAAUUGAUAUCACGGAUAUGAUACGAUCUGAAAGAAUAUGUCUGUGCUGUUUAUGGGGUAUACUUUUAUUACAGCGUUGGUACUGUCGCCUGUAGGUCUCCCGUUUUAUGGGCAGACACACUUUGCUGGACCACUUUUUGCCGAUGCCACUUUUCAGCCCGACACCAGGUUUAAUUCCACGUUUGCCACCCAUUUCACCAGCACUCGUGGCAGCUUUCACCCAGGUCCCCAGAGACAACCUCAGCCCGGCCGGGGCCCCGUGGGCUCAUCCCGGCCCCCGGAACACAACCCCAGCGGGGUGCCCGUCAGACGGCCGCCCCGAGCGGAGCCCCCCCGCUCUUUGUAACCGAGGCAGCUUGCAGAGGAGGGCCGGGUACGCCCCGGCACCUCCCCGAGGCCAGGCCGAGGGAGAGCGGCCCCCUUCGCCCCGGCAGCGGGACCCGCCUGCUGGCCGAGGGGCCGGGGGAGGGAAGCGGAGCCCGCCCCGACGGAGGGGACCCGCUCCGUCUCUCAGAGCUCGCCUCUCCCCGGGACUCCCCUCAGCGAGCGGGGCGGGGGCUCGGAGGAGCCCCCCGGGCGGGGAGGCGGGCCGGGGGCGGGCGGGCUGGCUGCGGCUUGGCCCGGCCGGCGGCACCACGUCAGCUCCCCUCAGCCGCGGGGGCCGGCGGGGGGCGACCCCGGGUGACUGCAGCCCCCGGGGAAGGAGGACGGGGCUCCGUCACCCCCAGGGGCAAGGCGGGAGGCUCCUCUCAGCCGCCCCCUUCCUCCCCGAGCGCUGUGGGGCGGUCGGGGCAGACCCCCUCCUUUCCCCCUCCCCACACACCCACACUCCCCGACGGCAGCAGCCCGCUGCGGGGCAGACGUGGCAAGCUGCGAGCCCUCCCUCCCUCCCCCGGCCCCGAAGAGCCGCCCUGGGGCUCCGUGCCCCGGCCGUGCCCCGGCUCCACAGCCCCCAAAGCGGGGCAGCCCUGGGGGGAGCGGCUGAGGGGCACCCCGGGCUGCUCCCCUCACGGGGACCCCCGCAGGCUGCCGGGGCGGCUGCAAAGCCGGGAGGGGGAACCCGGCGGAGAUG
rnacentral:lncRNA from 1 species